rnacentral:rRNA from 2 species
UUUUUACCGGCCGCGGACCUAAGCAUAUCAAUAAGCSRMGGAAARKARACCAACAGGGAUUGCCUCAGUAACGGCGAGUGAAGCGGCAACAGCUCAAAUUUGAAAUCUGGCCCCUUCGGGGUCCGAGUUGUAAUUUGUAGAGGGUGCUUUGGCGUUGGCCGCGGUCUAAGUUCCUUGGAACAGGACGUCACAGAGGGUGAGAAUCCCGUACGUGGCCGCUCCGCCUUCGCCGUGUAAAGCCCCUUCGACGAGUCGAGUUGUUUGGGAAUGCAGCUCUAAAUGGGAGGUAAAUUUCUUCUAAAGCUAAAUACCGGCCAGAGACCGAUAGCGCACAAGUAGAGUGAUCGAAAGAUGAAAAGCACUUUGGAAAGAGAGUCAAAAAGCACGUGAAAUUGUUGAAAGGGAAGCGCUUGCAGCCAGACGUGCCUGUAGUUGCUCAUCCGGGCUCUUGCCCGGUGCACUCUUCUGCAGGCAGGCCAGCAUCGGUUCGGGCGACUGGAGAAUGACCUCUGUCAUGUAUCUUCCUUCGGGAUGACCUUAUAGGGGAGGUGUAACGCAGCCAGCCCGGACCGAGGACCGCGCAUCAGCUAGGAUGCUGGCGUAAUGGCUGUAAGCGGCCCGUCUUGAAACACGGACCAAGGAGUCUAACAUCUAUGCGAGUGUUUGGGUGUCAAGCCCGAGCGCGCAAUGAAAGUGAACGGAGGUGGGAACCCUCGGGUGCACCAUCGACCGAUCCUGAUGUCUUCGGAUGGAUUUGAGUAAGAGCAUAGCUGUUAGGACCCGAAAGAUGGUGAACUAUGCUUGAAUAGGGUGAAGCCAGAGGAAACUCUGGUGGAAGCUCGCAGCGGUUCUGACGUGCAAAUCGAUCGUCAAAUUUGGGCAUAGGGGCGAAAGACUAAUCGARCUAUCUAGUAGCUGGGUUCCUGCCGAAGGUACCGCUGCGGGGAUAUA